AAUGAACGUUGGCGGCGUGGAUUAGGCAUACAAGUCGUGCGGCAGCAGGCCCGCAAGGGCGCUGGCGAGCGGCGAAAGGGAGAGUAACGCGUGGGUACGUACCCCUGGGAUCAGGAUAGCGGCGGGAAACUGCCGGUAAUACUGAAUAACCUCGCAGGAUCAAUGGUGUGAUUCCGCCUGGGGCUCGGCCCGCGUCCUAUCAGCUAGUUGGCGAGGUAAUGGCUCACCAGGGCUAUGACGGGUACUGGGUGUGAGCGCACGACCCAGCUCACUGGGACUGGGAUACUGCCCAGACACCUACGGGUGGCUGCAGUCGAGAAUCUUCGGCAAUGGGCGCAAGCCUGACCGAGCGACGCCGCGUGCGGGAUGAAGGCCUUCGGGUUGUAAACCGCUGUCGUAGUGGAGGAAAUAUCAGGGGGUUCUCCCCUUGGUUUGACUGAUACUAGGAGGAAGGGUGGGCUAAGCUCGUGCCAGCAGCCGCCGUAA
rnacentral:rRNA from 1 species